rnacentral:tRNA from 1 species
UCCCUGGUAGCUUAGCGGUUAAAGCGUCUGCCUUCAAUGCGGGAGAAGCAGGUUCGAUCCCUGGGUUGGGAA